AUUGAACGCUGGCGGCAGGCCUAACACAUGCAAGUCGAGCGGCAGCGGGAAAGUAGCUUGCUACUUUUGCCGGCGAGCGGCGGACGGGUGAGUAAUGCCUGGGAAAUUGCCCAGUCGAGGGGGAUAACAGUUGGAAACGACUGCUAAUACCGCAUACGCCCUACGGGGGAAAGCAGGGGACCUUCGGGCCUUGCGCGAUUGGAUAUGCCCAGGUGGGAUUAGCUUGUUGGUGAGGUAAUGGCUCACCAAGGCGACGAUCCCUAGCUGGUCUGAGAGGAUGAUCAGCCACACUGGAACUGAGACACGGUCCAGACUCCUACGGGAGGCAGCAGUGGGGAAUAUUGCACAAUGGGGGAAACCCUGAUGCAGCCAUGCCGCGUGUGUGAAGAAGGCCUUCGGGUUGUAAAGCACU
rnacentral:rRNA from 1 species